rnacentral:sRNA from 1 species
CCCUAGCCCCGAUAGAAGCGGCAUCCUUUAUAUCGGCCGUUUUCGGCAGGUAUAAAGAUACAGCGGAUAGCGGGAAAUAGC